UGGCUCAGAUUGAACGCUGGCGGCAGGCCUAACACAUGCAAGUCGAGCGGUAGCACAGAGAGCUUGCUCUCGGGUGACGAGCGGCGGACGGGUGAGUAAUGUCUGGGAAACUGCCUGAUGGAGGGGGAUAACUACUGGAAACGGUAGCUAAUACCGCAUAAUGUCGCAAGACCAAAGUGGGGGACCUUCGGGCCUCAUGCCAUCAGAUGUGCCCAGAUGGGAUUAGCUAGUAGGUGGGGUAACGGCUCACCUAGGCGACGAUCCCUAGCUGGUCUGAGAGGAUGACCAGCCACACUGGAACUGAGACACGGUCCAGACUCCUACGGGAGGCAGCAGUGGGGAAUAUUGCACAAUGGGCGCAAGCCUGAUGCAGCCAUGCCGCGUGUGUGAAGAAGGCCUUCGGGUUGUAAAGCACUUUCAGCGGGGAGGAAGGCGUUAAGGUUAAUAACCUUGGCGAUUGACGUUACCCGCAGAAGAAGCACCGGCUAACUCCGUGCCAGCAGCCGCGGUAAUACGGAGGGUGCAAGCGUUAAUCGGAAUUACUGGGCGUAAAGCGCACGCAGGCGGUCUGUCAAGUCGGAUGUGAAAUCCCCGGGCUCAACCUGGGAACUGCAUUCGAAACUGGCAGGCUAGAGUCUUGUAGAGGGGGGUAGAAUUCCAGGUGUAGCGGUGAAAUGCGUAGAGAUCUGGAGGAAUACCGGUGGCGAAGGCGGCCCCCUGGACAAAGACUGACGCUCAGGUGCGAAAGCGUGGGGAGCAAACAGGAUUAGAUACCCUGGUAGUCCACGCCGUAAACGAUGUCGAUUUGGAGGUUGUGCCCUUGAGGCGUGGCUUCCGGAGCUAACGCGUUAAAUCGACCGCCUGGGGAGUACGGCCGCAAGGUUAAAACUCAAAUGAAUUGACGGGGGCCCGCACAAGCGGUGGAGCAUGUGGUUUAAUUCGAUGCAACGCGAAGAACCUUACCUGGUCUUGACAUCCACAGAACUUUCCAGAGAUGGAUUGGUGCCUUCGGGAACUGUGAGACAGGUGCUGCAUGGCUGUCGUCAGCUCGUGUUGUGAAAUGUUGGGUUAAGUCCCGCAACGAGCGCAACCCUUAUCCUUUGUUGCCAGCGGUUCGGCCGGGAACUCAAAGGAGACUGCCAGUGAUAAACUGGAGGAAGGUGGGGAUGACGUCAAGUCAUCAUGGCCCUUACGACCAGGGCUACACACGUGCUACAAUGGCAUAUACAAAGAGAAGCGACCUCGCGAGAGCAAGCGGACCUCAUAAAGUAUGUCGUAGUCCGGAUUGGAGUCUGCAACUCGACUCCAUGAAGUCGGAAUCGCUAGUAAUCGUAGAUCAGAAUGCUACGGUGAAUACGUUCCCGGGCCUUGUACACACCGCCCGUCACACCAUGGGGAGUGGGUUGCAAAAGAAGUAGGUAGCUUAACCUUCGGGAGGGCGCUUACCACUUUGUGAUUCAUGACUGGGGUGAAGUC
rnacentral:rRNA from 1 species